rnacentral:misc_RNA from 1 species
GGAAGGAUCAUUAUCGAGUGUUGACCGAAAGGUCGCCUCCCACCCUUUGUGUACCAACUCGUUGCUUCGGCGGGACGUCGGUUUCGACCGCCGUCGGCGUCAGCGGGCGUGAGCCCGCCGAAGGUCAACCACAACUCUUUGUUCUGGGCUGUCUGAGUCUUGAAAUGAAUUGAAUCAAAACUUUCAACAACGGAUCUCUUGGUUCUGGCAUCGAUGAAGAACGCAGCGAAAUGCGAUAAGUAAUGUGAAUUGCAGAAUUCAGCGAAUCAUCGAAUCUUUGAACGCACAUUGCGCCUCUUGGUUUUCCUUGGGGCAUACCUGUUCGAGCGCCGUUUAACUUCAUAAGGCCCUGCCUUGCGUUGAUGGAGCUCCUCGUUGGCGAGGAGCCCGUCCAAACUCGUGGGCGCCGCCACGGCCCUUAUCGCAGCGAAAAUGCGAAGUUAAGGGAUCGAUGGCGACAGCCGAAGUCCACCGAUCGCAUGGCCUCGGAUCAGGUAGGAAUACCCGCUGAACUUAAGCAUAUCAAUAAGCGGAGGAAAAGAAACCAACAGGGAUUGCCCUAGUAACGGCGAGUGAAGCGGCAAGAGCUCAAAUUUGAAAUCUGGCUUCGGCCCGAGUUGUAAUUUGUAGAGGCACGUUCGGCUGAUGCGCCGGUCCAAGUCUCCUGGAACGGAGCGUCGUGGAGGGUGAGAACCCCGUACCCGGCCGGUGGCAGACGCCGUGUGAACGUCCUUCGAAGAGUCGAGUUGUUUGGGAAUGCAGCUCAAAACGGGUGGUAAAUUCCAUCUAAAGCUAAAUAUUGGCCAGAGACCGAUAGCGCAAAAGUAGAGUGAUCGAAAGAUGAAAAGCACUUUGGAAAGAGAGUGAAACAGUACGUGAAAUUGUUGAAAGGGAAGCGCUCGCGACCAGACUUGCUCGUGGACGUUCAGCCCGUCAUUUUGGCGGGUGCAUUCGUUCUCGAACAGGCCAGCAUCGGUUCUCGCGACCGGAAAAAGGCGAUGGGAACGUGACCCUCUUCGGGGGGUGUUAUAGCCCUUCGCACAAUACGGCCAGCGAGGACCGAGGACCGCGCAUCUGCUUGGAUGCUGGCGUAAUGGUCGCUAGCGGCCCGUCUUGAAACACGGACCAAGGAGUCUAACAUCCGUGCGAGUGUUUGGGUGUCAAACCCGCACGCGCAAUGAAAGUGAACGGAGGUGGGAGCUUCGGCGCACCAUCGACCGAUCCGGACGUCCUCUGAAGGAUUUGAGUAAGAGCACGGCUGUUGGGACCCGAAAGGUAUGUUAAUUGUUUUUGCAGUUUCGAUCAAAAUGCUAACGUUUAACAGAUGGUGAACUAUGCGUGAAUAGGGCGAAGCCAGAGGAAACUCUGGUGGAGGCUCGCAGCGGUUCUGACGUGCAAAUCGAUCGUCAAAUUUGCGUAUAGGGGCGAAAGACUUAUCGAACCGUCUAGUAGCUGGUUCCUGC